rnacentral:lncRNA from 1 species
CGAAUUGUCGUGAGAAAAGGAAGAUGUCAGUUUGGCUAACAAUGGAAGGUUUUCCAGAUGUAAAGGACGUUUUUUUUUUGGCUGAAGUAUGAAGCGAGGCACUAUGUGAAUUGUUUGCCAGGAAGCAGCGGCAUUGUGAUGCAAUUCCGCCUACAAGAGGUUCUUUUCCAGAGCACAUCAAAAGAUAAGUAUAUCAAGGAGGAGUUGUUUGGGCUCAGCCUGAUUCAUGUAUUCUACAGGUACAUGUACCAAGUCAUGA